UUAGGUCUCGUAGGUGACCUGCGGAGGGACAUUACACAAAUAUGAAGGCGGGCUGGAACCUCUCGGGGUUACAGCCUUGCUGAAUUAUUCACCCUUGUCUUUUGCGUACUUCUUGUUUCCUUGGUGGGUUCGCCCACCACUAGGACAAACAUAAACCUUUUGUAAUUGCAAUCAGCGUCAGUAACAAAUUAAUAAUUACAACUUUCAACAACGGAUCUCUUGGUUCUGGCAUCGAUGAAGAACGCAGCGAAAUGCGAUAAGUAGUGUGAAUUGCAGAAUUCAGUGAAUCAUCGAAUCUUUGAACGCACAUUGCGCCCUUUGGUAUUCCAAAGGGCAUGCCUGUUCGAGCGUCAUUUGUACCCUCAAGCUUUGCUUGGUGUUGGGCGUCUUGUCUCUAGCUUUGCUGGAGACUCGCCUUAAAGUAAUUGGCAGCCGGCCUACUGGUUUCGGAGCGCAGCACAAGUCGCACUCUCUAUCAGCAAAGGUCUAGCAUCCACUAAGCCUUUUUUUCAACUUUUGACCUCGGAUCAGGUAGGGAUACCCGCUGAACUUAA
rnacentral:rRNA from 1 species